GCGCUUGUGGCGGAAUUGGUAGACGCGCCAGACUUAGGAUCUGGUGUCUCGCGACGUGUAGGUUCGAGUCCUAUCAGGCGCA
rnacentral:tRNA from 6 species